UCGAAGAUAGCGUCUGAGAAUUGAGGGUACUGAGUGCGCUCGAUUAAAAACCAAGAACUUGUAAAAAAAAAGAACUGAUACUUUUUAUUUAGUAGGUAUACAAAUAUCAUGGAAUUCUAGAAACACGGAAGACUCACGCACUUUUCCAGCGUUUUUUUCCUUCCACCUUGAGUGCUAAUAUUUAUACGUUCAUUCAACUAAUGUUAAUCAAACUUUGUCAUUGUUCAUCAUUAGUCAUUACUCAUUACCUUCAUCAUCAUCUAAUAAAGAUAAAUAUCUAAUAUCAUCGGAGAACUAAUAGUUAAUUUUGAGAAGUUUUGUGUUGUUUUUUUUUAAAUCAUGCCAGCUUGUUGUGUACCCAGUUGUGGGAUUAGAUAUAAAAAAGAACCCAAGGAUCCUACCGCUUCUCUUCACUCCUUCCCACAAGAUGAAUUCUUAUUAGUGCCUGGCUUAGAGCCCUACCUUGGAAAACUGAGGGAGCUUAGGCACCUUCUAAGUAUUCAAGAGUUUGUUCCCUCCAUUUUCAAGAUAAGGAUUUUAUUACGUCGAGUCAAGAAGAUCGUCGGAAGAAGCAGUUGUCGUCUAUGGAUCCUAAACUCCGGAACCGUUAUUUAAAACCGUCUGCUCUUGCAAUAAUUUUCCCUAAUCUUCCAAAAUAUUUAUCUACAGAAAAACGUGAGAGGACAACUACGAAAGCUUCAUCAUCAGCAAGGCUUUCUGCUCAAAAUUUAUGCCUUAUCCAGGCGGGAAAAGUUAUUAAAAAUGGAUCUGGUCUCGAAGAGUCUAAACAUCAAAUCUUGGAGAAAAUAAACAGAGGAGGUCUCUAUUCUCCAACAAACGUUUGUUUUAAUAUGAUCAUCAAAAUAUUUGUGGUGUAUCAAAUUGUAACAAGAAAUAAAAAAAUCAAGGUCUCUA
rnacentral:lncRNA from 1 species